rnacentral:lncRNA from 1 species
GGGUGAAAUCUCUGGUGGGGAACUUUCCAUACUGGUCUUGAUGGAGGUCGUUUAGUAAUUAGAAAUGGCAGAAUAUUAAUGUAUUUGAGGAGAGGCUGUCCCUCUGCAAUAACACAGCUAGGAAAGUACUUUAGAUCAUUUCUGGGCAACAUUACAGACCAGAGUAAAUUAGGUUGGUCCCCACUGUGACCUUCCAACCGCACUCCCUCCUCCCAUGACCACAGUAUGUUUUUUAAUAGGUCUGCCUAUUAUACCCAGUGGCAUUUUUGUUUCCACUCAUCCUCGCUGUGUGAUUUUAUAUUCUGAGGAUGUUGCAGGACUUAUGGCCGCGUGAGAAUGAGAUUCCCCUCAUGGGAUCUGGGGGAUAUUUCUCUGGUGUGGCAUUCAUUGGGAUCGGAGAAGUCGAAAUGACAGCAACAUUACAUGGUUGAAAUGAAACCCCCGUAAUGUUAUCUAUUUUUAUUCAUACGGAGUGAUGAUUCGCCCCUCAUUGGUCUCUGUGUGUGAACGCACAGUGGCGGCGCAUGGAGGGGUUUUGUUACCAUUCUCUGUGAUAAAUCAGGGACAAGUGGGAAUUAUGGGGUCAUCAGAAAUAUAAAGUGGCAGUGUAUGGGUUGAUGUGUAGCACACGUGUUUCAGCACAAGGCUCACAUGUUUUCAUUUUAUUCUGCUACAGCCACAGCCAGCCGGAUGAAUUCAUACAUCCUAAUCUCUGCUGAAAGUGAGCGGCAGAGCGAGGACGGGGCUGAUACUGACCAACAAGGAGGGAGGAGAUUAGCUCCAGAGCUUUUUGCUGCUGUCUGCUAUUUUAGGGGGAAACUAAUGGAAACUGAAAAGGGAAACAAUGAGUGCAGAUCUCCAGUAAAAGCAGCCGAAGCGGAAACAGGGAGGAAAGUCGCUCUUUCAAUACCUCUCCAGGUGAAAAUGUAAGAUAAUGGUUGUCGUCGGAUUCGCCACUUUUCUUCUCUAUAAUUUAGCUGUAUUCAUUAUUAGCAUUAAGCUGAAGCAGGCCUGAUUUUUCCAUGAAAGUGCCCUUUUCUGUUGUCGCUGAUGUAUUAAGAAAUCUGGGCUUACAGAGAGUAACAAUCAGCCGGUUUCUGCGGUUAAAGCACGGUGACACCUUUUUACAUGGCAGCUGUGAAGAGGCCGCAGUCGUUCAGCUUUUCAUGCUCGCUGUGCUGGAAAAUGAUGAAGAAAUAAUGACUCAUGGAAAACUAUUUUAAUAGCAAUCAUUUUUUUGUUCUUAAAAGCCUCGCUUCAACAGUUACUCCAGAAUAGCCAUGGUUCCUCCUCUCUCUUUCUGUCCAAAAAGCACUUUCGGUGGUCAAUCAUUCUGAAGCUCUUCAGACAUUCACAGGUUACAAAGCUCUUAACAAAAGCCUGGACAGUAUUAGGAGUCCGAGAAACGCCAACAAGUCCCUGACUCGUUUUCUUUUCUUACCUCUAAGAGACACAAGAAGGAGACGCUACAGCUUUACUACCCAGUGGAUGGUAAUAUUUCUAUCACUAUAUUGUGCAGUUACAGCCUCUAAGACUGCUGAAUUUCUGCAGAUCACUGUAAGACAACUGCUGUGGAGUGUGGUUUCUGUGUUUUGAGGACACAAGUAAUCAAAUAUGGUGGAUUGGAGCAGGUAAACAUACGGGGAAAUGCCCAUGAGAGUCCAGACUACAAUGCACAAAUAGCACAAAUAAAUAGAGACACACAGAGGGGGUAAGUGAACAAGCAUGAUGCAGACUUCACCUGGUGUUUAAAACAGAAGCAGGAGAAGCAUAAAUGGAGAGAGUUUGCAUCACAGCCAAGUUUCCCGUUAACUUCUUUCAAUGCUGCUCAAUUAUAAUGCCUGAAACAACCAAGCUCUUUAACUCGCAGCGUCUCCUGCAAAGAUCUUCUCUUAAAUCACAACACUUACAGCUUCUCCUGCAAAGAUUUCCCCACAAACAGCUACAUUUCCCGUAAUCCUGCAAAUAUGCUCAAUUUUCAUGCCUGAAAGGACCAAGCUCUUUGACUCUCACCGCCUCCUGCAAAGAUUUCCCCUAAAACAGCUAUAUUUCUAGCUUCUUCUGCAAAUGUAUCUUAGGGCAACAUUUUCAGUUUCUCCUGCAAAGAUCUCUCAAAUAUCAGUAUUUCUAGCUUCUAGGUCUCCUGUCAGACAGCAAUAGUUACAGUUUCUUCUGUAGAUUUCUUAUUAAAUGGCCUUAAUUCCGUUUUUUUAGUAUUUUGUUUACCCUCCUUUGAUCAGUCUUGACUGGUUCAAUGAGGUGAUGGUGGAGAUUAUCUUACAGCUAUAAGCAGCUCUCACCUUCACAGUUAAAGCCAUAAAAUAUUCCUCAUUGGUGAGUCUUUUUUUUUUUCUUGACAACUGUUUUCAUACCACUCUUAUAUUACGGUUUAAACUGAACAUUUUAUCACCUGGCUCUACAGGGAUUGACUCACGACUGGAGCCAGCCUCAAGUGGACAGUUGAAGAACUGCAGUUUUUGGCACUCCUGCUCUGGCUUCAUCUCUCGGGACUGGAGAUUACCCCUUACUCUUUACAAGCGAGACUGCUGUUCAAUUUAUUUCCCCGAAGAACACCAUUAACCUCCAGUCCAAUCAGGGUGAAAAGGAGACCGUAAAUCCAAAUCACUGGUCCACUCUCCUGCCUCGGGUCUCUUGUCAUUUUCACCUCUGCCGGCCUCCCCUCAGCCCCUUCAUAUCGUCACCUCUGCUGCAGCUGAUUCUGCAGAACCGGGGAAUGAGAUAGAGUGUGAGGGCGGUCUUAAUGCUUGUGUGUAUCUAUGUGUGCAUGACUGUUAUCUAGAGUGUGUGUGUGUGUUCCAGCAGAUGCUACAAACUUAGAUGUCUGUAAUCAGUCAAUAUAUCCAUAAGAUUGAUACUCUGUCUUUGACAUUUAAAGGCUGCUGUCCUCUCUGAUGACUGAUAAUCCAUGAGGUAGUCAAUGACUCAUCCCAGGAUGGGUAAACCCUGCAUGAAUGGGUGACAUCUCUGUGCUCCCUCAGGGGUCCUGAUUCACACCACGUUCUGCUUUAGUUGACGUCACUCAGACAUUUUUACGGUGCACGGUUCAUGUGAGGAGUCCCUCUGGGGAAAUAUCUACUCUAGCAUAUGUUGGCCAAUGAGGAUCAGGUCAGCAGCGAGAGCCGGGAUGGUUAAGAGUGAUCUUUCUGUCAGUUUAAUGUGUAUUUUAAACAGUAGGCACUUAACUGCACGUAUCCCUCACAUUUAAUUUUAUUCCAUCCUGUAGAAGUGCUAAUUUCAACCAUUAAUUCAACUCACACUGUUCCCACAAUCCCUCCAUUUUCUCAUCUCCUCACACACCUUCCUGCUCUCGCCCCUGGUGGCGGAUGGAGAAGCGGUCGGGGGCUUUGCCUCAGUAAUUGAAGAAACCUUCAGAAACAUGCAGAUGAAGCCGGGUGAGCUGGAGAGGACUGAAAGUAGAAAAGGAAAAAGGGACCAGAUUCCCAAUUAUCCAUUCCUCCUCCUCCUCUUCUUCUUCUUCUUUUCGCUCUUUUUUUCGCUCUGGCAGGGUUAGCGUCGUUCAUUGGAGGCUCCUUCUUCGCCUCUUGCUGGACUCGGCAUAAUUAGGCGCAGUGUACGGGGCUGAACCGGGAUUGAUGAUCACAUAAAGGGCUGAGUGAGGAGCAGGUUCAGAGGGAAGCAGGGGCUUUGAUGAGAGGGUUAACGGCACUGUCAGCACUUUCACACUUAACACAUGUAACAAUGAAACACCCCGUCAGCUGACACACACACACACUCAAACAGGAGCUACUGUACAUCAAACCUUUAUCCACAGACCAAAACAAAACAUGUAACCUACAUUCAAUGUCAAAAUGUCGUCUUAGAUACGAGGAGAUCCUCCUCUAUGCCUCUUAUGUAACAGACUGCUGCAGGCCGAAGCUUUGAAAGAAACCGGAUUAUUGAAACUCAAAGAAUGAAAUGAAGAAAAUUAUCAUUACCAACAUUUUUUCCAUGACAACAACGAGAAGAUAACGAGCUAAAAUACAUAAAUGAUGACAAAAACUCACACAAAUAUAGUUUUUGUUUUCAUUUGUGAGAUAAUUAUGACAAGAAAACAUUGAAGGGGAACGCCUGGACAUUCAGAGUCCAUCAGAUAACAAAGAAGCAAUCACCUCUCAGUUUGAGUUUUGCCACUCUGCAGCCAGACCUCAAUUUACCCGAGAAAUACACUAAAGAGCCGACUCAGAGAUGUUUUGUUCGUUUAAUCAACACUGGAUGAUCGAAAUUGAAGAUGCAGCUGGGCCCAUUAAAAACACAAUAAAGCAUUUUUAUCAAAACCCAAAAACCAAUCAUCUUUGAGCUAAUCGAGUCAGCUGUUGGGUAGUACUGGUGCACACAAGUGUAUAAACUAUCUAAUAAAGUUAUCAAGCAGCAAACAGGUAUAAAAGCACAUAAAUGAGAAUUUUAGCGGUCAGAUGGUCAUGUUGCUAUUAAAUUUCACAACUCAGUACAUCAAACAAGACAAAAGCAGAACCUUGAAGCAUCUCUGUGACUCCAGCUGCUCCUCUCAGACUCAAAGCAGUCCAAACUUUAGAGCAAGGUCGGGUCGGUAAAACGAGAAUUAGGCAAAGGAAGAAAGUAUGUUGUCAAGUUGAAGUCAAAGUCAAAGGAAAUAGUAUGUUCAUGGUGGCCUCAUAUAUAAUGUUUACAGCAUUAACAGGGUGAUAAUUAGCAGAUUUAAACACUAAGACAACCCUGAUAUUAAUUAUGGCUGAUUAACUGAAUUAGUCUGAAGGCAGAAAAUAUUUUGACUCAAAUCAGUGACUAAAUCUAUAGAGGACAAUAAUGACAUUUAAGACGACGAUCGAAUCUGCAAAAACAGAUGUCUCACAGUUUCAACAGCUGGUUUCAUGUGGCAUAACUAACAUAUAUUUGCAUUAAGUUAGCAUGUUUGUCCACUCCCACAUAUUUCCCACCGCCACAGUAGAUCUUCUUCAGGUAAACACACAUGUUUUUUUCAGGCAUUUUGACCAAUUACUAACAGUGUCUCUUCUUCCUCGACACCUCGCCUCAAUCUGCAUAUUGUUUUUCUAACCCCAGAACCUGAACCAUCUCCAACAACAGGGGCGGGCGGGUGUCGCUAUAGGAUUUGAGGCUGACCUUCUCAUGCAUGAAAAUCUGACAAAUGCAUGGUGCAAAUUAGGCCGCCGGUCCAGGUCUAUCUCUGUGCAGUCUCGAGGUCAGGAACAUCAAAUGUGUUUUUGAAUUUAGAGACUCAAAGAUAAUCAAAAGCCAGCAAAGUUCAGAGCGUCUCAGAAACGUGGGGGAGAAAAUGCAGCCCCAAAUAGCAAAUAGACAUCUGAAAUGAUAUUACUCCUCUGCCAUGAAAGAGAGCCAAUUUCAAUGAGGUGACAUUCAUUUCCUUUCAGGUGCUGAGAGGAGGAUGAGAUAGGCUGUCUGAUUUUUAAUAUAUCUAACUGUGUCAGAGCCCCUGGUGGCACACAGCACAGGCAAAUAUAGGGAGGAUACACUGGAGCAGAGUGGAUUUCUCAAAGCGCUGUGCAGAAAUGGUUGCUAUUGGAAUGACAACUAUUUUGUUUCUGUAAAAUGUGGAUAAAUAUCAAAACGCAGGGAUGAUAUUGGUUAGCAUGACCGGAGACUUUCAUAAGACGUGUGUUCAGUCCGUCUCAGCUGAUAUGUGCCGUCACGGGCGCUGCUUCAGCUCCAGACACCUGGAGAAAUCUCAUUUCGAUUUCUGCAGGAGCACCAGAUUCUAUUUUGCAUCUACAGUGAACAUGAAAACAACACAGAGAUGUAAAUCCACUGAUUCUGUUAUUACCGGGGGAAAUCUUUGUUCUCACGACUCCAUUGCUGCUCUUAAAAAAAGCAGCAAGAGCCAAAAAUCAGCAAAGACGUCAUACACUUGAAACAAGCGGUGAGUUAAUGGUGAGUGUUUUGUUGCUUGUGCGCUGCUCACUGUGGUGAAGAUUGUCUUUGCCUUUAAACCAGUGCUUCGAUUUGGAGUAUUAGCUUUGCUAGUUAGUUUCAGCAGCGCGAUAUAACCAGUAUGAUAACUUCGGUAAAUAUAACUUUAUGCAAAUCACGAGCCAUACUCGGUUGAAAACACACACUCAUCGUUAUCAAUACUUCCUUGUGAACGCACAACAAUCGACUUAAAGAUCAACUUUGUAUUUGAUUGUGGCAUUUCGCGGUAAUCUCCACCAUCGCAACAAGCUUCAGGACCCCAAAACUGCCCGUAUGUGUGCCUAAACAAAAAUCGGUUGAAUCCCAAGGACUCUGUCUGCCCAAAAAGGUGCCUGCACAAUACCCACUUAAAGUAGUUUCAACACAGACAGAAAAAAACAUCGAAAAUUUAUAACAAUCAGAUUAAUUUUUGUUAAACAGUCCCUCUCUACUUGACGCUGAAGUUCCUUUAGUCGAAACGUGCAGCAGCAGAAAACUGGCGAAUACAAGAGACUCUGAAGUUUUACGUUAACUAAACUGUGAACAAAUAACCUUUUAUGGUUUUACAGACUGUUUCAGAGUAGAUAACGCCUAACUGUGAGAUGAUAUCAAUGAGCUUUAAUCCAGACCGUCCUUUUUCAAAAUGACAUUUUCAUGUUUUCAAACUUCAAAGAAAUGCCGUUUCUCCACAGAUGUACCGAGUCUAUUUACUGCCCUGUUUAUCCUCAUAAUGUCUUUUUCGCUCGCUUUUAUGCUACAGAUUUGUUGACAGACGCAUUUUGGUUUAUUUUCCUCCAGGCAAUUUCAUCUUUAACAAACACCUCUUUGCAGGAGCUAAUUCCCGCUGAAAUGAUGAGAGCAAAAGCUCGCUGGAGCAUUCUUCCCACGGCUAAGCCACCUACCGCAGCUAAAGGAGGCUCAGCGCUGCCCAUCAUGCAGGGCGCCGGGCUGCUCUUAUCGUCCCUCCACGAGGCCGGAGAAGGGUAAUAGGAUUGCUGCUCGCAGAGAAAGUGCCGUGCUCACCAAGCAGUGGGUGGGGGGGCCGAGGCAAAAGUGUGAAGGGCCUCUGCUGCUGUCCAGCAUCAUGCAAGCAGAGAGGAGCAGGCACGGAGGAUGUGUUCUCCUCGCUCCAUAAAUAACCCUGCUAAAUUGCAGGCUUUGGAGGGUCAGUGGGACAGUGGACUGCUGGUGUAUAUCUGGAGGCCUGGAUAUAACCUGUAAUCCUGCAGCCCAGGAAACACACAGCACAGCACUUAUAGCAAAAUGUCUUUCCUGCAAAAAGGAAGCCGGGGUCUUUACGAGCAUGGGGGGAGAGAGAGAGAGAGAGAGAGAGCCGGGGAGAGGGGCCAGUGAGAGAGAGUGGAGUCAGGAGUGAUUAUAUGGUGUGUAGUCAGUGUCUGAGGCGUUGACUCCUUCUUUCCUUCCUUGCUUGCUUCCUACCUUCCUUCCUUGGCUGGCUGUGUCCCAGCAGCAGCACAGCAUCCACUUUGUACUCAGAUGAGAGAGAUGAAAGCAGCUAUGGAGGAGGGAGCGGCGGAGGAGGGGCGGGGGGCUCUUUUUUUAUAGACCACCAUAUCACUUUAGAUUCGGGUGCUGGCUGAGUGCAACUGUCACCAUUCAGAGAGAACCAUCAGGAUGAAACAAGCAUGCAAAGGUUUCAAACAACCUCUGAAGACCUCAGAAAUUUGGCUUGAAUUUUUGAAGAGGAGCGUCUGAAAAUUGAAGUUAAAAACUGAAACAAAAACAGCGUCUCUCUGCAGACGGAGAGGGUGAGCUGCAGGGUCAUGUUUGACGGACGUCUUCUUGGCUUUAACGCAACAACAGUGCACAUAAAAACCUGCGUCAUGAGACCCUAAAGAGAGUCACAGUUUAAGAAAGGAUGUGUGUCAAAGAAUUAAAGGAACAGUGCGUAGAUAUUAGAAAAUUUAACAGACCUUUUUCUUGUGAUACGUUUACAUAUCAUUUUUCUGUGAUACUGGGGUUUUCUUAAUGAUUCAAUAAUUAUUACGACAGCAUCAAUGUGUGUGUUCAAGAGAGCCGCCGUCAAGACUAAAACUAAAUCUAAAAUGCCUGCCAAAAACAACACUGCGCCACACUCGAGGUGUACACUUGGACCAAACUGGAGCAGGUUUUAGUCUGGAGCGAGAACAGUCCGACGUAAAUUCAUCUAAAUCCGAAAAUCAUAUCUGGAGGACUUCUGAGGUCCAGACUAAGACCAUCAGAAAAUGGACUCAAGAUACUUUUCAGACAUGACUGAUGCUGCAUUUUGAAUUUCUGAUGUCAGUUUAUUACGUGAUAUAAACUAAAUUACCCCCCUCCUACACGAUGAAGCAUGAAGGAACAUCAAACGCAGUGUAAUCAGAAUUAAAACUAACAACACCAGGAGGGAAAACCAGACUACUUUAAUCUAGACUCAGACCACCACAUAUUGAAUAUUCCCAUUUCUACACACCCUACCUUGACAAUCUGAAAACGUCAACUUCCAGCUGCAUGUUGGUUUCAGACUGAGCUCCUGUUUAUUCUCAGAGCUCUGAAUGUGAUUGAACGUUAUAGCCCUGCAUUGCAUUUGGUGCCUGAUGUUAUGAAGCUGCAGGGAAAAGAAAUCAUCACAGAUCCAAACUAAACUAAACUCCUGAAGCUGUAUUUAAGCAGAUCUCUAACAGUCUCUCUAUUCUGUCAGACUUUAUAAUACGGAGCUGGAACUUUCUGGUGGAUUUUAGUUUUUCCAGCGUUUAACAUUUGUUCUGUUUCUCCAAGUUUAUCUGAAAAUCAGAUUUCCGUGGCACCAGAGUUAAACGCCUUUCCCGUCCUCCCCUUCCACAGUGUGUUUGCUGCUGCAGGGAGAACCGCUCCACCUGUGGGCUGUUAGCUUAAGUAAGGUGAGUGGGUGUGUUUUCCGGUUAUAUCAGCGCUGGGUGCUCAUGGGAAGGGCAGUAAAAGGCACUGCAGGUGGUGGAGGGGCUGAAAUGGCCACGCUGGUUGUUUUGAUAGAAUAAAACUGGCCUGAGGCGGCGAGCGGCGGAUGGAUGGCUGUGGUGUAGAUUUAGUGUUAUUAUUGAGAGAGGCAGAAAUGGUGUUACACUCCAACAUGCGCACAGGCGUGGGAUUGAUAUCUGUAACCUAUUGGUGAGAUAGCAGCUCUGCCCUGCAGGACUGAUUGCUUUAUUUGGAGGACCAUAAAGCUACGACAGGUUAAGACAACAUGGAGCACAGUGAGCGAUGUGGAGAUUACACUGAGAUUAAAGGUGCAACACGCUGAAUUUUUAAUGCAAUCAGUGCACAGAAGUCAUAUUCGUUCACCUUUCUGUACAAAACACACGUGUGAAGAUCGGCAGUUUGCUAUAAAUAAAAAAAAUUAAUAAAAAACAUCCUCUAAUCUGCUGUUGCUCCAUGAGCCUUUGUACUUCCUGAUCUAGUUUAAUUAACGGUAUUGUUCACAGCUCUCACUCACAUCAGGACAGAGUCAUUCAUGAUUCACACACUGGAUUAAAGCAACACUCUGUUUUUCCUGGACAGCCAUGAAAAAACAUCUGUCUGUCCGGAGAGGCCGUGUGGGUGAGCGGCUCUGCAGAGCUGCAGGAACAGCAGGAGAAACUACACCUUCACCUUCUGGAGGAGUUAUGUUUGAGAGGAUCUUAGGUCCAAAACACCGACCACUAAAGGACCACUGUUUAUCGUAAUUACAGUACUAUGAUAUAUCUAUGUGAUUAUAUUAUAACAAGUCUAUAAUAGGAUAUUAUCACAAUUACAACUUUGUUAUUUAUCAUGAUAUCAAAUCCACGCUGUGAUAUCUGUAACUAUAUGAAAGUUUGGGUGCAACGACUACGAUCGCUUUGACGAUUUUUCCGCCAAAUGUUAUACUUCACACAUUCAGCCAUCUUUACAAGCAGCGAACCACCAACAUGUUUCUUCAUGUGGGUUAAUAUCAGAUGGCUGGAAAUAAAAUCUCAUUUGUGGACUUUAUCAGAUGCCUGUUUUAGAAAAUGACGAAGACUUUAAAUUUACAGACUUCGCCUUAUCAGUGUAAGAAAUAUAAAAGACAGCUCAUUGAAAAUUACAUAGUCAGCAGCUGUUCGCACACUUCUAUUGUUACAAACACUCCAUCAUCUGUAAUCUCCUUUUCCCUUUAAUUAAAGUCCUCCUGCUCUGCAAAUUAAGAUUUCAGCAGCGAUUACAUCUGUAACACGUGUCACAUCUAAAUGAUGAGAUUCUUCUUCUCACUCAUCGUUUUAUCGCCAAAACCAAACUGAAAUCAAUCCGACAUGCAUGAAAUUAUGAAGCACUAUUGACGAAACAAGAUUAUCAGCCAGUGUCACGUGUGUCACCGAGGACACGACUUCUGUUUCCCUGCCUUGGCUGUAUUUUAAUUUAUUUCCUGACAGACUCCAGAUAAGGUGACGAGUGGCGGGAGAGGGCCAUCAGGAGGAGACGUGGUCUUUCUCCUCGCCGUCUCGUGGUGGAUAUCGGAGCUCCUGAUCGGGCUGAGAGCACGGCUGCCACACUCAGAGGGUCAACAGCCCUCAGUCCACAACAAAAGAGGUUUUUGUUCUGUGACUCACACCGAAUCACUGCACAUAAAGUUGAUGCUCGGCUCUACAAACGCCCUAAUGAGAAAAAGAAGCUCUCGGUUAAAAUGAAUACAACACAAAGAGCGUGCAGGAAGAGAAAGGCACCACAUAUAUGACAAAAACCUGCAGAUGCUUAUCAAAAAACAAUGGUGGGAGAGGUAAUAAUAAAAGAUACACCCCUGUGUCUCAGUGAUGCAGAUCCAGAUAAAGCCUGAGCCCUCGCAGUGAUUCACUCUUAUCUGCUAACACACAUGUAGCUGCAUGACAGGACCUCCGAGUCAGCGCAGGCGGACAAAGACGCUUUUUCAGUGGACUAAAUGGUCCCAUAUCCAGAGUGAUACGAGUUUAAUGAUCCGUCAGAAAUCUACAAUGUUUGAAACACCGGAUUAAAGUUCUUGAAGCACGAAAACCUGCUAAUCAUUUUGUCAUAAAUCUAUUCAAUAACAGUUUCUUACACGUUCCUCAGGUUCAGCACAUUCACAGUCAUACCUCAGUUAAAAAAGCCUCUUGCUAACUCAUUUGUUGAUUGUUUUGGUGAGCUCUGCAGAUAACAUCCAAACCUUUACAAAUUACAAAGGUAUCGCCAUCUUGCAAGGAUGCAUAUUUAUGUGUUUUAUUCCAGAAAUCCACCUGAAACUGUUUCUCGUCCUGCUCCAAACAUGUCAGCGCGUUCGUGCAGCGUUUCUCAGAUGUAAAAAUAAUAAAUAAGCUGUCAGGAAGUUUCCUCUCUCACACCCUGUUUUUGAAUAUUUGCAUAAAGUCAGGUGUAAAUGUUUUUCUGGAGGAAAUUUCCAUUUGUUAACGCUCUGUUUGGCAUCUCAGUGCUUGAUGGUCACUUGACAACCUCUGGUAUUUUUUGCCAUCAAAGCGCUCCUCUGUCUUUUUUCCUCCCUAUUAUUAUGUAUGGAUAAAUUCUCUCUUCAUUUACGUCUGCAGACUUGUCACAUAAAAGGCCGUUAUCUCUUCUUCCUCUAAAGUUUCUGUCGGCUAACGUCUGAAAGAUGCACCCGUCUGAUCCGCGGGGUUACAGUGAGAUUUUGAUUAUCUUUGCAGAGUCGGAUAUCUCCUUUUAAAGUCAUCUUGUAUUCACUCUCCUCCUCCUCCUUCUCCUCUUCCUCCUUAAGCUCGGCUUGUCGUGUUCGUCCUUCUGUUCCUCGUUUCUGUCUUAUGUGCGUGAAGUAGACAUACUGUACUGUGUCGCUGGCUGAGCUUAUGCUUCAAGACACACAAUCCUGUUAGGAGUUGGCACGGUUCGGUCCAUUUGAUGCCAGUCAAAAUAUUACAGUCUGUUCACUGAAAUAAAGAGCAAUGGGCAUAAUGUGGACCAUAAUGAGGCUUGUUUAUGUCUACUGGGUCUGGUCGGUCUUGGAGAAACGCCACCGUUUUUAAGCACCGAAAUCUGUUACCCUUGUUUUACAGCCUGUGUGUGUUCACGUGUGUGUGUGUGUGUGUGUUCACGGUUGCUGCAGUCUGAACUCCAGCAGUAAGACGCGGAUGCUAUGGUGACAAAGUGAUGGGUUCUGUUAAUAUAAGCCAACAGUCUGAUCAGGAUUCAGCAGGUGUUCUGCAUGGAAGAGACUGACGUCUGCUUGGGACCAUCCAUCAGGGCUAAAUGGCAGAUGGUCCUCUCUGUGGCCAGGCAGGAAGUGCACUAACACAAUCGCUGCGGCAACACGGGGAGCACUCUACCUGCUGAUAAUCCACUUACACACAGACAAAGCUGCUUUAAUCUGCCCGCUCGUCUCCCUGCACACCCCCUCGCCCCACGACAAGGCCGAGGCUCCAUGCUGCAGAAUCACCAUUGAUCCACUGCACACAUGUACACAAGCCGAGCACUGACAGGCCGUGUUCAUAAUGAAUCCCUAAUCACUCUCACAAGUGACAGGAGGAUCCUGCACAAUGAAUACUAAGUCUUCAAAGCACUCCGAAAACGUAAACUUGUGUUUUCCUGCUGUUGAAUUCAUACUUUCUCUUUCCCUGAUAUGAUUUUCCAUCUGCUGAGUUUGAAAAAAAUCCACAAUAAUAAAAAUAAGAGUUCCAUGUCUCUCUUAAAUGUGAAAAGAAGACGACUGAUAGUGAAUACAAAUACUUACAAGCAAUCAGAAAAUUGCAACCUGAGUUUUCUUCGUCCUUAAUUACAUUUUUUCUCCUGUCUCUGCAGAUUAGAUAAGAAUUACAUUAAAAGGGCUUCAGUCUGAAGUCCUACGCCGCUCGAAUAAUACAAGCUCACAUUCAAGUAUGUCCCGGCAUAAAGAAAAUACUGGUUCAAUAGUAAUCUGGUCCCUUAUACCAGCUCUAUUGUGGGGGCAUCACUGUAAUAGUGUGGUCAUGAGUGCAGCCUUUGUGAUAAAGCAGAUGUAAGGAUGAGGUAUUUUACAAUCUUUGAUGUUUUAAAGGAAAAAAACUCACCCAAACAUAAAAGACUAUUUCCUGCAAAAUACAUCAGAAAGAAGUGGUAUCCUUCAUAUUUGGGCCUUAGGAGUCAAUCCUGUGGUAAACAUCAUUUUAUAUUUGAGGUUAGUAUCAUGCAGAAUCACUGUCAAAUCCACUCACUCUGUGAGACCGGUGGCUCUCAGGUUUUUGUGAAGUCAGGCUUUUCUAUCUCACUAAGAUAUAAACGUAUUUUUUAGAGAGUGUCUGGAAAAUUAAAGGUUAUUAUUGACGUUUUUUGCAGUCACUCAAAAAAAAUAUUUUUUUAAACUUAUUAAACUUCUUUGUUGAUUUAAAAAAACAGAGCGCAUCUCCAAAUGUUUUGGGUCAGACUUAAUGUCAAAAAUGUGGCCUCAUUUUAAACUUCUUUUUUAACUCAGUGCUGUUUACGCACGGCAACAGCAGAUGAGGCUUCUAAAAUACUUGCCAAUCAUAUAAAGAAGAAAACAGAAUGAUGUUGGGCAGCUAAUCUACUGCAAGUGUGUUUUCGUAUUUUACCCUGAAGAUGGCGCUGCAAACAAUCAAGUCAGUGCAGAACGCAUGAUGUAUCCAACAGUAAGAAUAACCAUAUUUUAAACACUUUUCUCUUGUUUGGCAUGUCAUCAUUAAAAAAGUCCUUUCAGUGUAUGAUUUCAAGGUCCUUUAAAAGCCAAUCCUGAAAUGUGUGAAUUUAUUAUUCUCACACCACAAACGUGCACAAAACACUUAAACACAAAAUACUCCCAAUGGAGGGACAAUCAGUUUAAUGUAUGUGCAGAUAUUUGCAUUAUCUCCACUAUCUGAUCAGAAUAAGAUUCAUAUCACCUGCAGCUUCAUGGACAAUGUCCAAUUCCUCCUUCAUGUAUAUGCACAUUUUAAAAAAAGGAUUAAAUACCGCUCUUCUAUAAGCUGCUAAAUUUAUCCGCUCUUUAAUGAGGACACAUCCACAUUUGGGUUUUGGAUGCUUGUUAGAAAAGCUGGACUUGGAGCUGGAUUUGAAGGUGCAUCAGGCCAGGACCUGUGAGUCCCAGAGGGAGUCAUUAGAAAAGAAAAUGAAGUUUGAUUGAGAUCCUUUGCCAGGUUGUUCGCUCUGAUUGGGCUUCAUUAGACAACACGGGCGGAUGGCGGCCGAGCAGAGGGAAGUUUUGUUAGUCAUUCUGGCAUCUGAGAGGUCCGCUGUGCUGAAACUUUGCCCACAUCAAAACAGAUUUAUAGCAGGUUUCACCGUUUCACUAUCCUGGGGUGCAGAGCUGCUCUUCUUUAUGAGCUCAUCUGUUUAACAGUUUGAAUAAAGAGUUGUCCUCUUUUCUCGAGGCGAGAGCGCUGGAGCUCUACAGGGAGGAGAUGUCAGAGCGGAAGAAGAGGGAGAGAAGGAAUGAACAAUUAGUGUGGAGAGGUGGAACAGCUCCACAGCGAGGAGGAGGAGGAGGAGGAGGAGGAGGAGGCAGAGGC